CCUUAAACAAACCCCACCGGAUUUUCAUGUUCCCAUUUUCCAAGAUAAUGUCGAUGAUCGGUGCCGGAGUUUCGGCAACUGAAACAGAGUCUUCUCCGUCUCCAUUUCCAUGGCUAUCUCCUUCUCCCUCUCUUCCACUUCACCUCUGUCUCUGUCCUCAAACCCCAGCCGGCCCCUGACUUCCACUCCUCGACCUGCACCCGCCCGCUGUUCCCUCACCGCCGCGGCGUCGCCGAAGAGCCGCCUCCUCAGCCUCAUCGCCGACCAGGACCUCGGGCUCAAGACCCAGAGGGACCCCGAGGCCCUCUCCUCCAUAAUUGCCGCCAUCGACGACAUGGCCGCCCUGGGCCGGGACACUGUCACCACCGACGGGUCCCUCCUCUCCGCCACGUGGCGGCUCCUCUGGACGACCGAGAAGGAGCAGCUGUUCAUCAUCGAGAACGCCCGGUGGUUCGGCACGGCGGCGGGGGAUGUCCUGCAGGUGAUCGAUGUGGACAGGAGGGUCCUUAACAAUGUUAUCACUUUCCCUCCCGACGGAGUCUUCUUCGUACGGUCCACCAUUGAAAUUGCUUCCAAGCAGAGAGUGAAUUUCAGAUUUACGAGUGCUGUUCUUCGAGGGAAGAACUGGGAGGUCCCACUUCCUCCAUUUGGGCAGGGAUGGUUUGAGUCUGUAUACAUAGAUGAUGAGAUACGCGUUGUAAAAGAUAUCCGAGGAGAUUAUCUGAUCGUGGAUCAUGCUUCAUAUGAUUGGAAAGAAUGAAAGACCACUCCCUCCAUCUCAAACGUUGUCAAAGCAGUAUGGUCGCACAUCAGGUGGACCAGUGCAAGACGAUACCACAUAUCGAGGUUGGAACGGGACAGACUGGUGGUCGGAAAAUUGGCUGUACGCAUUCCCAAUGUUGAGUCUACGGGCUCCUUAAACUGCUCCAAACUUACAACAGGUGAGACUGGGUGGACUUGGAGAAGUUUAGGCAUACCUGAAGGGUUUAUGUAGGGCCUUGUGAUUAUUAGGUAUGUAUCAAGGACUGAAUCUUUUCCGUCCUCCGCCUUUAUUGAUUGGGAUCGCAGAUAAAGAACUAGUAUGUACUUCUUUUGAUUGGAGUUCGUAGCACAAUUCCUCGUAUUGUAGAAAUGGUGAUAGCCCUCAUUGCUUCUGUUACCGAUAAAUAUAUCUAAAGGCAACUAACUAUAUCAGGGCAUGAGUUAGGCAGGCGUCCUGCGAUGGUAUCCUGGCACAGUCACAGUACUGGCUCAAGAUAUAUGGGGCUAUUGCAGCCCUGUGGGAAACUGAUUGGUAUACGAGUCUAAUACCCCUAGGCUGGGUGUAAGGGGAGGAUGAUCGAGGCUGGGAAAGUGUACAACAAUGACUGAUUUGAUGCUUGGGGAGGUGAGGCGAUCACGAUUCUGAUGGCCGAGGGCAAUCUAAAUUAACGGUCGAGGACGUACAAACCGAAACCAAGCGCGGAUUAUGCUUUCUCCAGGAUUUUACUCUCGUCGAGAUCGCAACCUCUGGCGUUGCCACGCCCAAUGGAGGACGUACGUACUCAGCGCCCAGCUAGUGAGCAAAUAAUGGGCCUCAAGAUUAGGGCUUGUGCAAAUGAGGCUCUUUAUGGGCUGAAGCCCACAACCCUAGCAGGUCGUGGCCCACAAUGUGAAUAAGGGAAGGAAAUGCAGGUCAUAUUAUUUUAAAUAUAUAAUUGCAAUAAUUUUGCAUAUUAGCGA